GCCGGGAAGAGGAAGAAAAGAGUGUGUAAGAGCAGUGGGAAUGAAAACAUCAAGGAAGGACUAGCUCACUGGUUUCAUCAUAGGAAGGUGGAAACUUGGUGCGGUGUUUCCUGAUGCCUCUCAUUCCUACUGUUCUUACGUGCUCCUUCCUUUUCCUUUUGGCU
rfam:Setaria italica strain Yugu1 chromosome III, whole genome shotgun sequence.